rnacentral:rRNA from 1 species
AGUGAACGCUGGCGGUAGGCCUAACACAUGCAAGUCGAACGGCAGCACAGUAAGAGCUUGCUCUUACGGGUGGCGAGUGGCGGACGGGUGAGGAAUACAUCGGAAUCUACUUUUUCGUGGGGGAUAACGUAGGGAAACUUACGCUAAUACCGCAUACGACCUACGGGUGAAAGCAGGGGAUCUUCGGACCUUGCGCGAUUGAAUGAGCCGAUGUCGGAUUAGCUAGUUGGCGGGGUAAAGGCCCACCAAGGCGACGAUCCGUAGCUGGUCUGAGAGGAUGAUCAGCCACACUGGAACUGAGACACGGUCCAGACUCCUACGGGAGGCAGCAGUGGGGAAUAUUGGACAAUGGGCGCAAGCCUGAUCCAGCCAUACCGCGUGAGUGAAGAAGGCCUUCGGGUUGUAAAGCCCUUUUGUUGGGAAAGAAAAGCAGCAGGUUAAUACCCCGCUGUUCUGACGGUACCCAAAGAAUAAGCACCGGCUAACUUAGUG